rnacentral:rRNA from 1 species
UACGGAGGGUGCGAGCGUUGUCCGGAAUCACUGGGCGUAAAGGGCGCGUAGGCGGCCUGAUAAGUAGGGGGUGAAAUCCUGCGGCUUAACCGCAGGGCUGCCUUCUAAACUGUCAGGCUUGAGCACAGUAGAGGCAGGUGGAAUUCCGGGUGUAGCGGUGGAAUGCGUAGAGAUCCGGAAGAACACCGGUGGCGAAGGCGGCCUGCUGGGCAGUAGCUGACGCUGAAGCGCGACAGCGUGGGGGAGCAAACAGG